rnacentral:misc_RNA from 1 species
UGGAGAGCGACCGCCGCGUCGCGGCUCUGCCGACCCCGCGAACCGUACCACUUUGUUGUUGCCUCGGCGGCAGGGCGCUGUCCUCCUCCUGCAGGGAGGGGGGCGCGCCGCCCGCCGCAGGCCCCGCAGCCCAAACGCGCAGACCGCUCAGCGCUCCUUCUGAACACAGACUAAACAUAACGAGUAA